rnacentral:rRNA from 1 species
GCAUAUCAAUAAGCGGAGGAAAGGAAACCAACAGGGAUUGCCCCAGUAACGGCGAGUGAAGCGGCAACAGCUCAAAUUUGAAAUCUGGCCCCUCCCCCGGGGGGGCCCGAGUUGUAAUUUGCAGAGGAUGCUUCUGGCGAGGUGCCUUCCGAGUUCCCUGGAACGGGACGCCGCAGAGGGUGAGAGCCCCGUCUGGUCGGACACCGAGCCUCUGUGAAGCUCCUUCGACGAGUCGAGUAGUUUGGGAAUGCUGCUCUAAAUGGGAGGUAUAUGUCUUCUAAAGCUAAAUACCGGCCAGAGACCGAUAGCGCACAAGUAGAGUGAUCGAAAGAUGAAAAGCACUUUGAAAAGAGGGUUAAACAGUACGUGAAAUUGUUGAAAGGGAAGCGCUCACGACCAGACCUGGUCCCGGCGAAUCACCCGGCGUUCUCGCCGGUGCACUUCGGCGGGCUUCCAGGCCAGCAUCAGUCCGCGCCGGGGGACAAAGGCGGCGGGAACGUGGCUCCCCAGGGAGUGUUAUAGCCCGCCGCGCAAUGCCCCGGGGGCGGACUGAGGACCGCGCGUCACCGCAAGGAUGCUGGCGUAAUGGUCGUCAGCGACCCGUCUUGAAACACGGACC